rnacentral:rRNA from 1 species
CCUACGGGGGGCAGCAGUGAGGAAUAUUGGUCAAUGGGCGGGAGCCUGAACCAGCCAAGUCGCGUGAGAGAAGACGGUCCUAUGGAUUGUAAACCUCUUUAGGCGGGGAGCAAUGCCGGGCACGUGUGCCCGGAGGGAGAGUACCCGCAGAAUAAGCAUCGGCUAACUCCGCGCCAGCAGCCGCGGUAAUACGGAGGAUGCGAGCGUUAAUCGGAAUUACUGGGCGUAAAGCGCUCGUAGGCGGUAUGUCAAGUCAAGGGUGAAAUCCCCGCGCUCAACGUGGGAACUGCCUUUGAAACUGGCAA